rnacentral:rRNA from 1 species
AACGAACGCUGGCGGCAGGCCUAACACAUGCAAGUCGAACGCCCUAGCAAUAGGGAGUGGCAGACGGGUGAGUAACGCGUGGGAACCUUCCCAGUGGUACGGAAUAACUCAGGGAAACUUGAGCUAAUACCGUAUACGCCCGAAAGGGGAAAGAUUUAUCGCCAUUGGAUGGGCCCGCGUCGGAUUAGCUAGUUGGUGGGGUAACGGCCCACCAAGGCUACGAUCCGUAGCUGGUCUGAGAGGAUGAUCAGCCACACUGGGACUGAGACACGGCCCAGACUCCUACGGGAGGCAGCAGUGGGGAAUAUUGGACAAUGGGCGCAAGCCUGAUCCAGCCAUGCCGCGUGAGUGACGAAGGCCUUAGGGUUGUAAAGCUCUUUCGGCGGGGAAGAUAAUGACGGUACCCGCAGAAGAAGCCCCGGCUAACUCUGUGCCAGCCGCCGCUGUAAGAC